CUCUCUGUGUUUCUUGGUCUCUCUCUCGGUCUCACUCUCACUUUUUCCCUCUCUCACUCUCUUCCUUUUCUUUUUUUCCCCCUAAGUCUCUCUGUGUGUUCUCUCCUCCUCCCCAAGUACCACACAUACGCACACCCAUGCACAUGCAAAAUAACACGACGGCACCACCCUUCGAUUCCACUAUCUUUCCUUCUCACCACAAUGCAAAUAUUCCCCAACGUUUUAUCAUCGUUUUCAACGAAGGUAGGUCAAAACACCUUUCUAUCUUUCUCCCUAGUAGUCUAGAAGGAUUCAUUGUUGCUAAAAUGUGAUUUUGGUGAAGGUUUGGACAUGAAAACACGUCGGGGAGACUUCCCCAGACUUC
rnacentral:lncRNA from 1 species